rnacentral:misc_RNA from 1 species
GAAAUGAUGACGAACCAGAUUUUCCUGGAACUCACAGAAGGAAAUAUGAUCAUGUUAAUUCCUAGACCUAGUCUAUGAAAACUUCAAGACAGAGUCAAAAAUUUUCUCUAAUUCAUUAGCUAAUAAAGAGAAAUCUUUUAUAUGUACAGUGGAAGUUUUGUGUAGCUGUUCAUUAUCCGGCAAUCUGCGCAGAUAAAUAUUGAAUUAUUGAAUUUUUAUAUAAUUAAUAAAUACAAAACAUAAAUUGAAGAGAACUAAAGAAUAAAAAGAAGCUAGCAGACAAAUCACAGAUCAAAACUCACGAGCAAAAUAAUAUCAAGAGAAGAUAUGUACUGUAAAGUUAAAAUAAAAAAAUCCAGGGAAAUUAAAGGCAUAGUUGGGUUAUUUUUCUACGAAAGUGACACAUGAUUUUGACGCAUUAUGCGUUUUCUUUUGUUGCCCACACACUUUUCUUUAUAAAUUAAUAAUCGCUAUCAGCUAUCAUGGCCAACCAUAUCCAUGCAAAUUUCUUAUGGUGUUAGUUAUUUGUAAUGAAUUGUAAAGAUAAAUAGCAAAAAUCCAAGUAUACAUUUAUAAAUAUUUAUGGGAAUUUUU